GGCUGUUGCCCAUGGUGGCUAGUGAAGCAAAGCAAAUCUCAGAGCAGAGUGCAAGGCAGCGAACAACAGGUUUGGCUAGGAGUAGGGGGAAAGAGAGGGCACACUGGCACACAAGCACACUCAGACACUGUUGAACCACACACAGGCACACGCAGCGUGGGGAGAAAUGGCAGUGUUAAGAUCGGAAUUGCGGUUUACAUAGAGGGAGCUUAUUGUGUAUAGUGUUUACUUAACUAAAGUAAAAUUGGUUUUAUAAGGGUGUUUUAACUUGGAACUGUUUAAAUUGUAUUGUUUAUGGAUAAAUUCUGAUGUAUUGUUUUUGAUAUGGGCCAAUGGCCGUAAUAAAUCUAAAUCUGAAAUCUGGCAGUGUUAAGAGUGAAUGAUGAAAUAGCAAGGUUUGGAGGUGGCAGAAAGAGUGGCGUUAAGCAUUGUGGGGAAGAUACUUUUUCUGUGCUGCACUGCAAGUAUAGAAGUUAUUUUUUCCUAGCAUAAUCUAGAACCCAAAUUUUCUCUCUUCACGGUUCAUCAGCUAUAGACACAGAAAGCUACCUUAUACCAAGUUAAACCUUUGGUCCAUUUAAUCCAGUUUUGUCUACAAUGAGUGGCAGUGGCUCACUAAGGUUUCAGGCAGAGAGUCUAUCUCAGUAAUACUAGGAGAUUCCAGAAACUGAAUAUAGAACCUUCUGCAUGCAGAUCAUCUUUUGUUCUGGCUUUCUUCAUUAUCAUUUCCUCAACAGAUAUUAGGUUAAAUAUAUCAUAAAAUGGAAAUCUACUGGGAAAGGUCCAUUGAUGGCUGUUACUCAUGAUGGUUAAAUGGAAUCUCCAUAUUCAGCAGCAAGAUAUCAUUUCAUAUCAGUAGAUGGGGACCAAUUGUGGGAGAUGGCUGUUGACUUUAAGCUCUGCUUGUGAGUUUCUCAAUAGCAGCUGUCUGGUCACUGAGAAACAGGUUGCAGUGCCCCUUUUAUGUUCUAAUUGGGUAGAAUCCAGUUGGUGCCCUUGUGCCCACAGAAGAGCUUUUGAUUCAGCCUGUCUCUGCUAAAAGAAGAGAAGGGUAGUGAUUUGUUUUUUUAAAUAAAGCUAUACAGAACAUGAACAAAUCCUUGAUCAUGGUCUAUCCAAAGGCUGUGACACAGAAAAAAUAUUUCUCAUGCAGACUACAGAGGAGUGACUGUAGAUAUAGUUAGAGUCAAACUAUUGAAAACUCAGCUUAGACAGGGAAGUGACUUCUGCUUCCUGAAAAUUUUACUAAACUUUUUGCCUUGGACUAUAAUAACCAAAAGUAGGCAUCAGGAAACAAAGGCAAUAAAAGCAAUAAGUAUCUGGGCACUCAGUCUGACUUAUCUGCUAUUAAUAAAUCUCUUCAUUUGAAAUAUUUGCAGACUGUACUCUGUAGAAAAACAACAAUGUUCCUGGAAACUCUCCUGUAGGUCUUAGAGUUAGCAGUCAAUAUCAAAGAGGCAUGCCACUGUUUUUCCUACUGUGGGUCAGGUUUUUCUGGAAAGCGGAGCCUUCACCAAUUAGGGAUCACUUAAUGACCUCAGUUUCCAUCAAACUAAGACAUGGCAUUCUUCCACAAAACAACGAAGGAAUGUUCCCUGUCCCUUCCUCACCCACAGCCACCCCCAAUCCUGGAAAAGCAUCUCUGGAGGGUUGUAGGGCCUUCAUGAAGAAGAUGGGAUGGGGCAUGAGGGAUUGUAAGGGUAAGAGAGGAUGGGGAAACGGUCCUCCCAUGAACUUUCAUAAGUUGCUGUUCCAAGAUCCAAGCCUAAUAUAUUAAUUAUGCCAUAAGCUUUCAUGGACUCAGGUCUAUGCCAUAACAACAUACCCUCCAACAUUUCUCAAAUGAAAAUAGGGACAUCCUGUUCCAUAAUGAUGAUUUAACUAUUUAUACCCCACACAUCUUCCUGGGUUGCCCCAGCCACUCUGGGUAGCUUCCAAUAUAUAUAAAAACAUAAUAGAACGUUAAACUUUUUUAAAAAAACACACACAACAAAACUUCCCUAUACAGGAUUGCCUCCAGACAGCUCGGGGGUCAGAUAACACCAUACCCUCCAACAUUUCUCCAAUGAAAGUAGGGACAUCCUAAGGAAAAGUGGGACAUUCUGGGAUCAGAUCAGAAACCGGGACGGCUUAUCUAAAUCAGAGACAUCCCUGGAAAAUAGGGACACUUGGAGGGUCUGUAACAAAUGUCUUAGUCUUUCGAGUGCUGCAGUGUUUUUAAUCUUUUAUACUCCAAAUUACUGAUCCACCCCCACCCCCCAUAUAUCAAUAGUUAGGGAGAGGAUCCUGUGUAUAGCACAGUCAGUAGAGCAUGAGAUUCUUUAUCUCAGGGCUGUGAGUUUGAGCCCCACAUUGGGCAAAAGAUCCCUGCAUUGCAGGGGUUGACUAAAUGACUCUCUACAAUUCUGUGAUUCUAUGAUUUAUAUCCCAUCCCUUAAAAUUAUCAUGGCCAAAUUGGGGAAUAGCACUAAAGCCCAAUUCAGAUGAAAAAAACAUAUCCAGCUUACCAUUUUAAGCCAAAUCAGAACUAUGCUCAUAAAGAACUAGUAAUUUAAAAAUAAAUAAAAACAACACUAAUUGUCUUGGAUGGGCAGGUUGAAAUUUGCAGUAACACAGUCAGAUCGUUCUCAGGUGGGCUGAGUGAUGGCGUGCCAGAUUGCAGUUUGUGCUUGUGUCAAACAGAGCAGAUGAUGAGCUUCCCGUGAGGUCAUUUCUAUCUGGGCUUUUUCAAAAGCAGCCUGCUUCUCAGUCUCCUGCAAAGUGGUAUAGAGACUGGCUCUGAGCCUCAGGCUAAACAAUGCUGCACAGCUGACAUAUUAGCUGACAUAUCAUACUUCUGUUAAUGCAACCCAAAUAUGGGUUUUUAAGGUCAGUGACAUCACAUUGUUUACUAAUAGAUGACCAUGAUCCAAUAUAACUCCACUGUCUCUCUCAGCAGUUACAGAGCCAAGCCAGAAUUCCCCUUUUUGUAUUUAGAGGGUUUUCCCCUUUCUCAUAUUAAUAUAUAUAUAUAUAUGGACUUUAUUUUAUCCCUUUAGGGUCCACUGUUGCCGCUCAGCUUCAGUCUUGCCAAUAUGAACUUGUGUGGUUUCUUCUUUUCACGUAUGUUUAACUUCAACACAUAUUUAAUGAGCAUAUUCUUUAUUGUUCCAUCCAAGUCACGAACAGAGCAACCCAACACAUACUAGUUAGAGGCACAGAUGGAGGAGAAAUCUGGUUUCAUCCACAUAUUGAUUGAAUCUACCUAAUUCACACUUCCCCAAACAAUCUACAAACUGAAAUGCUUUGAUAUUCACACUUCUCCAAAUUAUGUGAUGCAGUUUAACAACCCAAUCAGUGGUUAUAUUAGGGGGAAGACUGCAUAAGAAUGCAGAUUUUAGUGAAAUGGCAUACACAAAUGCAUUAUAUUAGGUAAACUAGUAAAGGUAAAGGGACCCCUGACCAUUAGGUCCAGUCGUGGCCGACUCUGGGGUUGCAGCGCUCAUCUUGCUUUAUUGGCCGAGGGAGCCGGCGUACAGCUGGUCAUGUGGCCAGCAUGACUAAGCCGCUUCUGGUGAAACAGAGCAGCGCACGGAAACGCCAUUUAUCUUUCAGGCUGAGGGAGCCAGCAUUUGUCCACAGACAGCUUUCCGGGUCAUGUGGCCAGCAUGACUAAACUGCUUCUGGCGCAACAGGACACCUGGACAGAAACCAGAGCGCAUGGAAGUGCCAUUUACCUUCCUGCCACAGCGAUACCUAUUUAUCUACUUGCACUGGUAUGCUUUCGAAGUGCUAGGCUGGCAAGAGCUGGGACCGAACAACGGGAGCUCAUCCCGUUGUGGGGGUUCGAACCGCUGACCUUCUGAUCAGCAAGCCCAAGAGGCUCAGUAGUUUAGACCACAGUGCCACCCGCAUCCCAUGGCACAGCAGAUGCAGCUGAGUAAAAGUAGUCAUCAACUCAUAGAAAUGUUGGGGGUUCUUGCGACAGCUGCUACCUGAAUACGUCAGAGUAAAGGCAGAUCUAGCAGCAGCACUAAACUAUAUGCCUGGCCCUUCUUGCUAAUAUAGGGUUGCAGCCAAAUUCCCAUGUAGAUACAGUGGUACCUAAGGUUAAGUACUUAAUUCGUUCCAGAGGUCUGUUCUUAACCUGAAGCACCACUUUAGCUAAUGGGACCUCCCGCUGCUGCUGCGCCGCCGGAGCACAAUUUCUAUUCUCAUCCUGAAGCAAAGUUCUUAACCCGAGGUCUGUAACCUGAAGCAAAUGUAACCUGAAGCGCAUGUAACCCGAGGUACCACUGUAUUCUAACCUUCAACAUAAGAAUCAAGAGAUUUAAAGCUGAAAAGAUGUAAAUAUUUUGUAAUGCAGCAAUGGUGUUUGCAAAAUGAGAUAACUCUCUCUUAAAAAUGUGAAAACAGGAUAAAAUAUUUGCAGUAACUACGUUUCUGGAUUGAUGCCAUUUCUAUAGUUCAAGCUCUGCUUGGCCUCUUGCCACCUCAACAAAUGCUAGAGAACUCCCUUUCGCCAGCAGGGAAUCAAUGGAUUUCUGCCACUUCUCCUAUAUGGGUUUGGGUGCUUACACUGUGAGCUGGCCCAGCAUUUAAACUCCAAAGCAUGCUGAGCCUUCAGAUUUGGGUCUUGGCAGUAGCAAUAACAAGAGUUAUUGUCAAUUGUUUCUCAAACAUGUAGAUUUGUUUCUGAAAUUUGAUCUGAAUUUCCCAAGACAUUUCCUAUGUUUACAAGUCAUCCUCAGUUUUCCGUCAAACUCAUAUAGUUCCAAAGCAUGCUUCACUUUUAAUUUAACUUUGGAGCUCAAGCGAUAUGCACAUACUCUUGCCAUUACCAUCACAACACACUGGGGACCAAAAUAAAUGUGGAAAGGGAUAUUGGCUCUGAAACCAAGGAGGAAUAUCACAUGGCUGGGAUAAACGAAAGCUACAAGUUUAUUGAAUGCAAAGAUUUUGCAACUGCCGGUUGCUUCUCCCUCCUUCCCCUCACCUUUCUAUAGGCAGCUAUGUCCUCCUGGUUAAGGACAGAAAUAGCAGCUAUCCUUACCAGCUGAGCUACUUGGGUUGCUCCACACUUGCUCAGAGUCUUGAGUCCUGCUCUUCAUUCCUUCCAGUGCUCUAGUAAGCCCUUCUCUUCCAACCAGCGGUGCCAACUAUAGGGGACGGAAGGGGCUUUGGCCUCCUCAAUUUUUCUGGGCAGGGGGCCAAGCCCCCCUAAUAUUGAGGGGGUCACCCCCACCCCCAAGCAAGCUCUGGCACAGCAGGCAGGGGCAGGACACAUGGAGGGUGAUUUUCACCCUCUGUGCUCCCUGUCCACGGCCAACGGGAGAGCACUGGCCUGUUGGGUGGGGGUGGGAUGGGUCACAGGGCACCCUCAAUGUGGGAGGCAAGUCAGCACCCCUGCUUCCAGCAUAGUUUAAGGACUGCAUGGGAUUGAACAUUGUAUGAAUAGUCUUAGGAGAUGGCCAUGGUCAGUUUAUGAGCACACUCAGUUUCUGAAAACCAGUGUGGCAUAGGAGUUUGCAGCAUGUGAAAAAUGGAAAUGGAAGGAGUCAAGUAGCAUUCAUGGCUAAGAUUAGGUGUUACAAAUAUUAUUUAUUUAUUUAAUUUGUAUACCGCUCUUUGUCCACAGAUCUCAGGGGGGUUCACAGCAUAAAAAUACAGUAUAAAAACAGAAACACAUGUGUCCCUAUUUUCCUUUGUGAAAUGUUUUGGAGUCUGCAGUUUAUAUUUUAUACACACAUGCGCGCGCACACAUACACACACAUUUAUCUCCAAAUGCACGAACAAGGGAGGAGGAAAGAGCUUCUAUAAUAAUAUAAUUUUAAAGUUGGACCUUGGAGGUCAUUUGGUCCAACUCCUUGAUGAAUUAUGGCACUCUUGUUUUGCCUACUUUACAGGAAGGUGUCCUCUUUUGUAAAAGACUGUCCAAAGACAGUGUUCUGUUUGAAAGUGUUUCAUUCCAAGUCUAAUUUAAGAUAAAGAACUGCAAGAGAGCAGGGACCUUGAAGUUGUCCAUCAGUGGUUAGCAUCUGGGCCACAGACUGAGCAGGCGCAGAAGUCAGUUGGUCACAUUCUUUACCAUGAUGGUGAUAUGCACUGUAUUUCUAUUUAAAUUAUAUCAAGCCCUCUAAGAAUCCCUUGCAUGUGAGCACUGAUGCUUGUACUCUCUGUGUUAAAGAAACAUGCUCACAUAGGUCUUACAGUGAGAAUGUUGUGGAUUUCCCAUCACUUGCAAUGUGUCUCAAGGCUCCUCAGUGUUCUGAAGUUAAUUAAUUAAAAAAUUACAUCUUCUCCAUUUUAUUCCAGCUGGCAGCAUCAAGAAAUAAACCAUGUUCCUCAGAGUGCAACUGGAGCAGCUGUCAGCUGAUCUCAAAUAUGUGAAUAAGGCAAAGAGCAUGCAAGCACUGUAUACUUAUUAUAAUGGGCUGGCAACUUUUCAAAAAAUAAAUAAAUGAAUCCAC
rnacentral:lncRNA from 1 species